CAGAAAGGAAGAAAGCCGCAUAUAUUUACAAUAUCUACAAGGGGUUACCCCCAGUUACAUUGGCCCAGGGCCGACAAAAAAAAAUAUAGCCAAAUGGCAACAAAAAAUAGAAGAGAAAAAGAGAAUGAAAACUAAACAAAUAUUACAAACUUUUUCUCUGUUCACUCGGUCAGCACCCUCGGCGCCAUCAUCAUCUCCGGGCGUGGUUGGGUCGAAAUCGUAGUCGAGGCGAGCAUCACGAGCCUUUUGGCGUGCUUCCUCAUAGGUGGCCUCAGGCACAACGCCGGCUUCCCA
rnacentral:lncRNA from 1 species